rnacentral:RNase_P_RNA from 1 species
AGCGGGACGGAUCGUCGCUGCGGGCCGCAAGGCCCGGGGAGGAAAGUCCGGGCUCCGCAGGGCAGGACGCUGGAUAACGUCCAGGAGGGGCGACCCUCGGACAGCGCCACAGAAAGCAAACCGCCGCGCAAGCGGUAAGGGUGAAACGGUGGAGUAAGAGACCACCAGAUGCCGCAGCGAUGCGGCAUGCUCGGCAUACCCCCGUUCGGAGCAAGACCAAAUAGGGAAGGGGCCGGCCCGGCCAUACCUUCCGGGUAGGUUGCUUGAGGGCGCGGGCAACCGCGCUUCUAGAGGAAUGACGAUCGGCGCGCUCAGCGCGUUACAAAACCCGGCUUACAGGCCCGCUCU